rnacentral:lncRNA from 1 species
CUCCCCUCUUGUAUUUAAAAAUACGCGUUUGGUGAUAUAACUCAUUAACUAAAUAUAAUUAAGACCUAUGGUCUUUUGAUUUGAGGUCCUUGGUUUAUGACCUUGAAAUUGAUCUCAAGGUCAUAGCUUAAUUUGACGUUCUAGAUUUUGACCUUUGCUUUUAUUCUAUAUGUAUACAUGAUAAAGAUAUACAACUUUUAGAAAAAGGUAUCAAACCAUUUAACCUUGAAAAAAACCAACCGGAAGUGACCUUUUGUAAACCGGAAGUAGCUAUUUUUUG